AUAUUCUUUGCUAUGGAGUCCUGAAACUAAUCUAAAUCAAUAUUUUUGUCAGUCUAAAAUCAGUUGGAUCGUUACAAAAUCAUGAUAAAUCUAACAAACAUUUAAUACAAACUAGGGUUUCAGUAAAAUAAAUAAUAUAUUUUCUUUUAGACGCAGUAUUAUUUAUGCAGCAAAAAAUGGCCAUUUUACAUAUGUUCAAUCUGACAACAUUGACAGUAGACAUUUUCCGUUCUUAUUAUUAGGGUGAAGUUAUAUCGCUCUUAAAUAUUACUGAUAUUUUGAUAGAAAAAGUGCUUUUUCUGUGUACUAUUUGAGUUUAUUCUGUUCCUUAAGGCCUGUUUAAUCCCCUGAAAAUGAGCGUUAUUAAUAAUACACAUCAGCACAUAAACAGCACCUACAAGAAGAGAUCUGGGUCAUCCCUUGUAUAAUCCUGAUGUUUGGCCAUCAUUCUGGUUUACGAGUUGUUCUUCGACUAUGUGAGUAAAAAAAAUAUCUUCAAGAUCCCCAUCAGGCUGAUUAAAUUCAACAUUCAACAGUGGAAUGAGGAUGAAAUUCAUAAUUGAAGAGGAACUAAAUAAUUUUAGAUUUUGUGCAACACAUUAAUGGAUGCAGACAAUUCCAGGGCAGUACAUUUAUCCAUUUCACAAAUAAUACAAACAAUUCAUCAGGUAUUAAGUAUAUUUAACAUUUUAUUUCUUUUGGGUAAAUAUGUUUAUACUGGUUUUUAAUGUUCAUCAGUGGAUUUCAUGAUUUCUAAAUUUAAUUAAGUAGAAAAAUUCGUAUUCCAAUGAUUCUCUGAGUUACAUUUUUAUGAUUCCUUAUUAUCAUAGUCAAAUUCAGACCAUCUAUUUUAAUUUAGGCCAAUUUGACUUUUGGCCGCUUCAUUUUUUUUGAUAAAAUAUCUACUUAGAAUUCUACUUCAUGUUAUUUUUGGUUAACUUUAAUCCCAUAUUUUCUCCAUUGUGGAAAUAAUAACAUGAUUCUUAAUUUUAUAAAAUAGUCUAUUGCCUGUAUUUCAAUGAGUUUCUUUUAUUUGCAUUAUUUCUUAUGCUUUUAUUUUUCUAAUACAUUUUUGCUUGUGUAAUUCCUUGUAGAUAAUUUUGAUGGAUACAUUUUUAUGUCAUUUUUUCACACUUAAAAAUCUCAAAAUAAGGAUUAAUUAUCGGUCAUUUCCUGGCGCAUCCGCCAUUUAUUCAAAAACCUGACUUGUCCACAGACGAUGUCACUUCUGUUUUUCCUAGCCUUUUUUCCAAUGAAUUUUCCUGAUUGACAUCGACUUCAGAGCAUCAUAGCUAGCCUCCCCGCAAAAGAGGAGGCCCGGGUCACCCCCUAACCCUGAUGUUCGGCCAUCGAUGACCUAUGUAGCAUGCAUAGGUACCCAAGGGAGUCACCACCCUCUGGUUUACGAGCUAGGUGUUCUAACGCUAGAGGCUUCGGCCGGAUACGACCUGGCACCCAAGCUCCGAGACUUCUUCGUGCACGUAUUCCGUGACCCUCGAAGAGGCAGGGGACGGGAUAUCGGACACAUUGAAGAUGAUGAGGGGGGUCCGCCUGUAGGGGGUCCCGGUGGAUGUCCGCUCGAUGGGUGACGAGGGUGACCCGAGACGAGGCUGCUUAGCUGGGAUGGGAACUGACUGGUGAGGCUUAAUCGUCGGCCAAGGGUUAAAUCGGAUGAGGGGUGGCGAACUUGAUGCUCUGGGGGAUUUUUCUUUAUGUGCUUGAUGUCAUAUUUUGACAAGAUAUUCGUUAGAGGAGGCAUUAGAGGAAGUAUAAUUUUUUGUCAGUUUUCUUGUUCUUAUUGACCAGAUACUUCUUUAUUUUUUUUCUCUUGCUUUUGGUCUACCUGUUAUACAAUUUUUGUCAGCCAUAUUUUUUUUAUUACUGGAAUAUCAUCGUUCAUCACUUAUCUAAUGAUUGUCUUAUUCAGACAUUUGUAUAAUUUUUUGGUGUCAUUGGUGCCUUCUCAGACUUUUAUUCCAACAUUUCUAUUGCCUGUAUAGAAUUAUCGUUUUUCUUAUUUAUUUUCAUGCCAUUUUUUCCAGUGUAUCAUAUUUCUAUUUCACCUUAUGGGAAUGUCAUGAUUCAUCAAUUCUAUAAACUCUUUCAUCGAUUUUAUUUCUUACUUUUCUUAUUGUAUAUAAUUGUGUGUGUAUAAUUUUUUGUGUCAUUCUUCUGAGGCUUUUCUAGAUGCGUCAGUUAUUUUCAUGCAUUUUUUUAAUUCGGGAGAUAUAAUUGAAUGGGAUAUUGUGCUAUGGAUAUACUGCUUUGGAACAAUGAUUUUUUGGAACAGCUGCACUUCAAUUCAACCACCAUUUUUAAGAUGCCAUUAGGUUGAUUAAAUUCAACAUUCAAGAGUGGAUUGAAGCUAAAUAAUUUUAGAACCAAGACUUUCCAGAAGGGUAGCCAGAAGAUUUAUUUACCUCAACAUAGACAUCAGCAUGCCCAUCAACACCUUGGAUUUUAAUAUGCUUUUUAUAUUACUCUUUGUUAAUAAAAUAUAAUAUGUACAUAAAUAAAAAAUAAUUAAUAA